rnacentral:rRNA from 1 species
CAGCAGCCGCGGUAAUACAGAGGGUGCGAGCGUUAAUCGGAUUUACUGGGCGUAAAGCGUGCGUAGGCGGCUUCUUAAGUCGGAUGUGAAAUCCCUGAGCUUAACUUAGGAAUUGCAUUCGAUACUGGGAAGCUAGAGUAUGGGAGAGGAUGGUAGAAUUCCAGGUGUAGCGGUGAAAUGCGUAGAGAUCUGUAGGAAUACCGAUGGCGAAGGCAGCCAUCUGGCCUAAUACUGACGCUGAGGUACGAAAGCAUGGGGAGCAAACAGGAUUAGAUACCCCAGUAGUCCCUGUCUCUUAUAC